GCAUAUCAAUAAGCGGAGGAAAAGAAACUAACAAGGAUUCCCCUAGUAACGGCGAGUGAAGCGGGAAGAGCUCAAAUUUAAAAUCUGGCAGUGAAUUCUGUCCGAGUUGUAGUCUAGAGAAGCAUCAUCCGUGCUGGACCAUGUACAAGUCUCUUGGAACAGAGCGUCAUAGAGGGUGAGAAUCCCGUCCUUGACAUGGACUCCCAGUACUUUGUGUUGUGCUCUCAACGAGUCGAGUUGUUUGGGAAUGCAGCUCAAAAUGGGUGGUAAAUUCCAUCUAAAGCUAAAUAUUGGCGAGAGACCGAUAGCGAACAAGUACCGUGAGGGAAAGAUGAAAAGCACUUUGGAGAGAGAGUUAAACAGUACGUGAAAUUGUUGAAAUGGAAACGCUUGAAGUCAGUCGCGUUCUCUGGGAUUCAGCCUUGCUUCUGCUUGGUGCAUUUCCUAGUCUACGGGCCAGCAUGAGUUUUGACCGGUGGAAAAAGAUUUGGGGAAUGUGGCACCUUCGGGUGUGUUAUAGCCCCUUGUCACAUACACUGGUUGGGAUUGAGGUCUUAGUGCACGCUUCGGUUGUGCUUUGAUGCUGGCGUAAUGGCUUUAAACGACCCGUCUUGAAACACGG
rnacentral:rRNA from 1 species